rnacentral:rRNA from 1 species
GACGAACGCUGGCGGUGUGCUUAACACAUGCAAGUCGAACGGAAAGGCCCUGCUUUUGUGGGGUGCUCGAGUGGCGAACGGGUGAGUAACACGUGAGUAACCUGCCCUUGACUUUGGGAUAACUUCAGGAAACUGGGGCUAAUACCGGAUAGGAGCUCCUGCUGCAUGGUGGGGGUUGGAAAGUUUCGGCGGUUGGGGAUGGGCUCGCGGCUUAUCAGCUUGUUGGUGGGGUAGUGGCUUACCAAGGCUUUGACGGGUAGCCGGCCUGAGAGGGUGACCGGCCACAUUGGGACUGGGAUACGGCCCAGACUCCUACGGGAGGCAGCAGUGGGGAAUAUUGCACAAUGGGCGGAAGCCUGAUGCAGCAACGCCGCGUGCGGGAUGACGGCCUUCGGGUUGUAAACCGCUUUCGCCUGUGACGAAGCGUGAGUGACGGUAAUGGGUAAAGAAGCACCGGCUAACUACGUG